UGCUGAAGAAUGAAUCGUUUCUGUGAUGGUUCUUACAUUGAACAUCCUCCUCUGCUCAGCACUUUGCAUUAAGUAGGAACUCCAUGAACUCCAAACACAGGAGAACAAGAAAGCUGAUCUCAUUGAGCUGCAGAGUUCCUGGGGGCAUGUAAUGACAUACUGAUGACUGCAAGGAAAAGAUCUGAACCUGCAAAAGUGCCUGUACUUGUUUAAUUUUAACUACAUGAACUGCCCUGCUGAAGUCAAUGAGACUACCACUGUGAGUAAAUUUAGGUGUAUCUGUCACUUCAGCAAUAGGUACCAAGUCUAGAGUGUGAACAUCAUUUAGAUGAGAGGAAAAUAUAUUUUGUGCAAUAUAGCAAGGUACCUAGUGUGCCCAGUUACAAAAGAAACGCACUUCGUGUACCGAGUAUUUUCAGCUGAUCUUUAGACUUGGCAACAUCACACAAAAGCCUCAAAUGGGUAGCAACAAGUCAAGCCACAAUAGGUAAAGAACCAGAAUCAACCGUGAUAUUUCUUCCAUGACUUAUCUGGAAGUGACCAGCACCCAGAGAGAUGAAAUUGGGGAACAUUCUCCACACGCAGAUGAGCUCACAGAAUAUAAUUGUUUCUGUAAACUUUAAAAGAGGUUUGUUCAAUCCACUGCAUGCAGGCUAAUAAUGGGAAGUCUGAGGUGUAAGCACUUUCAAAAGUCCUAAAAUUGUGGGAGCUUUUUCUUCCUGUGUAUUAGUAUCACACUCAGAAAUGGAGAAUAAUAUAGCACCUUUUUAAAAUGCUACAGAUGACUAGUGCAAUACAAUGGCCUAAAUACAUUGGCUUCUCACCCUUGCAUCAUUGUAUAUGAGCAUAGUCUGGUACUCUGUGUAAGGUUUGAGAAAUACUAGAGUAAGCUACAGAUGGGUACUUUUAUUAUCAUCAGCCUCUGCCUGGAUCCACUAUAUAUCACAUAAAUAUGUAUUUUGAGUCAUUCGUUCUAGCUCUCCAUCUAAAUGUUGUAGAAAGCUUUUAAUGCAGCCAAGGCAAAAUGACAGCAUUUCUGCUAGAUACUGCUAUUGCUCCACUUACCAUCUACAAAAUGAUUUACCAUUUUAUGUAAUCAUUAAAGUUUUAUGGUUCUGCUGUCAUUAUAAAAGAGACA